ACCACCGGCCCUUGUGGUGGCGUUCAGCCACGCGAGACUGAGCAAUAACAGGUCUGUGAUGCCCUUAGAUGUCCGGGGCUGCACGCGCGCCACAAUGGGCGGAUCAACGUGUGCCUACCCUGCGCCGAGAGGCGCGGGUAACCCGUUGAAACCCGCUCGGAAGAGCCCAG